rnacentral:rRNA from 1 species
AUUGAACGCUGGCGGCAGGCCUAACACCUGCAAGUCGAGCGGCGCGGGGGCCGGGUAAGUAAUGCCUAGGACUCUGCCUGGUUGUGGGGGAUAACCUCCGGUAACGGGCGCUAAUACCGCAUCCUAUCAGAUGCGUCUAGGUCGGAUUAGCUAGUUGGUGGGGUAAAGGCCUACCAAGGCGACGUUCCGUAACUGGUCUGAGAGGAUGAUCAGUCAAACUGGAACGGAGACACGGUCCAGACUCCUACGGGAGGCAGCAGUGGGGAAUAUUGGACAAUGGGCGAAAGCCUGAUCCAGCCAUGCCGCGUGUGUGAAGAAGGUCUUCGGAUUGUAAAGCACUUUAAGUUGGGAGGCGUUACCAACAGAAUAAGCACCGGCUAACUUCGUGCCAGCAGCCGCGGUAAUUC